AGGAGCACAAGUUACCUCCACGAGGGAGUGAAUUAAGUAUGUUUACUUCGGUAGAAUAACGGGCGGAAAAGACCAUCGUCAUCAGAAAGUGUUUGCUGAACUACAGAAAAAGGGAGAAGCAGAAAACCGUAGAAAACUUUAAAGGGCUACAGCCAGAGUGGAACACUUGUACACGAGGAAAUGAAAAAUAAAUUGUCGCUAUUGUA